CAGCAAGGGAAGAGGUGUAAAGGGCGGCAAUGAUUCUGGAAGUCAGACGGCCAUUCUGAUUCCACAGCCACAUUGGCUGGUAACAGUUGGAAGCCCACAUCCUAAGGACUUGUAGGAUCAGAGUUGGGGUGAGGUGGAGCAGAAAGAGGAGGCUAUCAUAGGAGAAGAAACAGAAAAAGCAAUAGAGUCAAGAGAUGUGAACUACAAGAGCUAAUCUAUAAGUUCAGAGAGGGAUGAACUUAAGGAAAGAUGUUAGCCACACAUCUGAGGCUUCCUAGAGAUGCUUUGAUCAAGCAAACUGCAUGUACAGAAAUAGCGGAUGAAGAGACUAGACACACUGAAGAGACUAUAUUAGCUGGCCCAUGAUUUGAGGAGAGAGGAACAAGCAAAACGGAGCAAGAGGAAAGACUGCCCUAAGCCAGAAGCAGCAGCAAGAAGAGCAGAAAAGUAUGAGGCAGGAGUGGAAUGGCAUAGAGAUAAG
rnacentral:lncRNA from 12 species